CUCUGCUCUCCUCUCCUCCCUGCAAGGGCUCAACUCCACUUUCAGCUCCUUCAGACUUUGGCUGCUCUUGCCAUCCGGAGGCUCCCUCCCGCCGGUCCGGCUCCUCCUGUGCCUGCCUCUCCGCGCUAUCCCGUUAAAAGGCUGCAGCUGACGCUCUCUGAGCCAGUCGUUGGUUGACUCCGUCUGGGAUGAAGGCUGGAGGUUACCGGCGAGAGAAAGGAGACCUCUAGGCAGCUUUCCAUUUGCAAAGUGAGCGGUAAUUGCGAGGAGACAGCCUCCCCAGUUGGAAUCAAUAGUCUGCUUUCUUGCUGCUAAGGGCACUUUGGAGCAGUAGUAGGUCACUGAAGUAACUCCAGCACGCUGCUGACUGCGGAGUUGUAAAGAACUGCGUGCAAGUGGCUGCAGGAGUGCUGAAAAACGCGUCCCUGUUGCCAGGGACGGAGUAGUUCUCAAGUCAUUAGAGCUUCUGGUCUUCUUCCAUUACACAGAGAGGGUCACUUCUGGGAGGGAUGAGGAUGGAGAAGUGAUUCCUCCAAGUGUCGCUCUCGUGGAGGGGGUGAGGGUGGCUUUAAAAGCCAACCCCAACUGCUAUUAAAUUCAGACUUACCUGAAUUUCCCCAGACCUCUUCAAGCACAAUGCUAGAAAAUCUGAAUCUUCUUCGGGCUUUUGGGGGUUUUUUCUUUAUCUUCUGGACAGCUUUUAACACAGCCUUAGUGGAUGUGGUUGGAUCGGAGCAGCAGAUCCCCCUGUCUGUUGUGAAGCUUUGGGCCUCAGCGUUUGGUGGGGAGAUCAAAUCUAUUGCAGCCAAGUACUCGGGUUCCCAGCUCCUGCAGAAGAAAUACAAAGAAUAUGAGAAAGACGUUGCAAUAGAAGAAAUUGAUGGCCUUCAGCUUGUGAAAAAGUUACCAAAGAUAAUGGAAGAAAUGUUUCAUAAGAAGUCUGAAGCUGUGCGGCGUCUUGUUGAGGCUGCAGAAGAUGCUUACCUGAAACAUGAGUUUGAUGCUGAUUUACAGUAUGAGUACUUCAAUGCUGUGCUUAUAAAUGAAAGAGAUGAAGAAGGGAACUAUCUGGAGCUGGGAAAGGAGUUCAUUCUUGUGCCAAACGACCACUUCAAUAACUUGCCUGUAAAUAUCAGUCUGAGUGACGUGCAAGUACCAACCAAUAUGUAUAAUAAAGAUCCAGCCAUUGUAAAUGGAGUUUAUUGGUCAGAAUCCUUAAAUAAAGUGUUUGUUGAUAACUUUGAUCGUGACCCUUCUCUCAUCUGGCAGUACUUCGGAAGUGCAAAAGGAUUUUUCAGACAGUAUCCAGGAAUUAAAUGGGAACCUGAUGAGAAUGGAGUAAUUGCAUUUGACUGCAGAAAUAGAAAAUGGUACAUCCAAGCAGCAACUUCUCCAAAAGAUGUGGUAAUUUUAGUAGAUGUCAGUGGCAGUAUGAAAGGACUUCGCUUGACUAUCGCUAAACAGACAGUUUCAUCUAUUUUAGAUACCCUUGGAGAUGAUGACUUCUUCAAUAUAAUUGCCUAUAAUGAAGAACUUCACUAUGUAGAGCCGUGUCUGAAUGGAACAUUGGUUCAAGCAGACAGAACCAACAAAGAGCAUUUUAGGGAACACCUUGACAAGCUUUUUGCAAAAGGAAUUGGAAUGCUGGACAUUGCUUUAAAUGAAGCUUUCAACAUGCUCAAUGAAUUCAAUCACACAGGACAAGGAAGUAUUUGCAGCCAAGCCAUAAUGUUGAUUACUGAUGGAGCUGUGGACACAUAUGAUACCAUAUUUGCAAAAUAUAAUUGGCCAGACAGAAAAGUUCGUAUUUUUACCUAUCUGAUUGGAAGAGAAGCUGCUUUUGCUGAUAACUUGAAGUGGAUGGCCUGUGCUAACAAAGGGUUUUUUACUCAGAUCUCCACCUUAGCUGAUGUCCAAGAGAAUGUCAUGGAGUACCUCCAUGUUCUUAGCCGACCAAAAGUUAUUGACCAAGAACAUGACGUGGUAUGGACUGAGGCAUAUAUUGACAGCACACUCCCUCAGGCUCAAAAGCUUGCUGACGAUCAGGGAUUGGUGUUGAUGACAACUGUUGCCAUGCCAGUAUUUAGUAAGCAAAAUGAGACUAGAUCAAAAGGGAUUCUCCUAGGAGUGGUUGGCACAGAUGUCCCGGUUAAAGAACUUCUAAAAGCUAUUCCAAAAUACAAGUUAGGUAUUCAUGGAUAUGCUUUUGCAAUUACGAACAAUGGAUAUAUUUUGACUCAUCCAGAACUUCGGCCUUUGUAUGAAGAAGGGAAGAAACGAAGAAAGCCCAACUACAGUAGUGUGGAUCUUUCUGAGGUUGAGUGGGAAGACAGAGAUGAUGUGCUUCGAAAUGCAAUGGUGAAUCGUAAAACAGGAAAAUUCUCCAUGGAAGUGAAGAAGACAGUGGACAAAGGGAAACGGGUAUUGGUGAUGACAAAUGACUACUAUUAUACAGACAUCAAGGGUACUCCGUUCAGUUUAGGUGUGGCUCUCUCUAGAGGACAUGGAAAAUAUUUCUUCAGAGGGAAUGUAACUGUGGAAGAAGGUUUACAUGAUUUAGAACACCCUGAUGUAUCUUUAGCAGAUGAAUGGUCCUAUUGCAACACUGACUUGCAUCCUGAACACCGUCAAAUGACUCAGUUAGAAGCAAUUAAACGCUACCUCACAGGAAAAGAGCCAUUGCUCCAAUGUGAUAAAGAGUUGAUCCAGGAAGUUCUGUUUGAUGCAGUGGUGAGUGCACCAAUUGAAGCUUAUUGGACCAGUUUAGCACUAAAUAAAUCAGAAAAUUCUGACAAGGGAGUAGAAGUUGCCUUCCUUGGAACACGGACCGGACUGUCUCGUAUCAACCUGUUUGUGGGUCCAGAACAGCUUACUAAUCAAGAUUUCCUGACAGCUGAAGACAAGGAAAACAUUUUUAAUGCUGAUCAUUUUCCACUCUGGUACAGAAGAGCUGCUGAGCAAAUACCCGGGAGCUUUGUCUAUUCAAUCCCAUUUAGUACAGAAACAGCAAACAAAAGCAACGUAGUGACAGCCAGUACUGCCAUUCAACUUUUGGAUGACAGAAAAUCUCCAGUCGUUGCAGCUGUAGGUAUCCAAAUGAAACUUGAAUUUUUCCAGCGGAAAUUUUGGACAGCGAGCAGACAGUGUGCGUCUCUUGAUGGCAGAUGUGCAAUAAGUUGUGAUGAUGAAGCAAUCAACUGUUACCUAAUAGACAACAAUGGAUUUAUCCUAGUGUCUGAAGACUAUGGGCAGACUGGUAACUUUUUUGGGGAGAUUGAAGGGGCUGUGAUGAACAAAUUACUAACAAUGGGCUCCUUUAAGAGAAUUACACUUUAUGACUACCAGGCCAUGUGUAGAACAAACAAAGAGAGUAGCGACAGUGCCCAUAGCUUACUGGACCCUUAUAAUGCCUUCUUUGCUGCAGUAAAAUGGAUUAUGACAGAGCUUGUCUUGUUCCUCGUGGAGUUUAAUCUGUGCAGUUGGUGGCACUCUGAUCUAACAGCAAAAGCUUCUCAUCUUGUUCAGAAUUCUGUGUGCUGUUCUUCCCAUGUUAACAUCAAGAUAUGUUUUUGCUGUGCCUAUAGCGCAGAGGUUGAAACAAACCCUAGAGCCCUGUGAUACUGAAUAUCCAGCUUUUGUUUCCGAACGCACUAUAAAGGAGACCACGGGGAAUAUUGCUUGCGAUGACUGUUUCAAGUCCUUUGUAAUCCAGCAAAUCCCAAGCAGCAAUCUCUUCAUGGUGGUAGUAGAUAACGAAUGCUUCUGUGAUUCUGUCCCACCAAUUACCAUGGCUCCUAUAGAAAUAAGAUAUAAUGAAUCCCUUAAAUGUGAACGUUUAAAAUCUCAGAAGAUAAGAAGACGCCCAGAAUCUUGCCAUGGAUUUCACCCUGAAGAAAAUGCAAGAGAAUGUGGUGGUGUCCCAGGUCUUAGUGCUAAGCCUCCUUUUGUUCUUCUUCCUCUGCUAUUGACAAUAUUCUCAAGGUGACAUUGACUGAUGUGUUCAAUUGGCAUGCUAAUACAUGGAUAAACUGUGAACUGAGAAAUGGUGCAACACAGAGGAUAUGAAAUAUAGUCAGAGCAUCAGCAUUUCAUGAUUUUAAACUGUUGGUGAUAUAAAUUCUUAAAGAUGUGUUGAAAAAAAAAAAAAGAUUUAUCUUUUUACUUUGCUAGUCAUGCAGAUGUGAAUUUGGCAUAUGAUAGUUAUGAUUCAUCAAAAAAGGACUUGGUAGAUAGUGAUGAUCAUUGCUUUGUCCCAUUGAAAAUAAUUUAAAAUGGUGUACUUUUUCAAUAAAGUAUAUUAAAAUCACA